rnacentral:rRNA from 1 species
CUCAAAUUUGAAAUCUGGCCCUUUCAGGUUCCGAGUUGUAAUUUGCAGAGGGUGCUUUGGUGUCGGCCGUGGUCUAAGUUCCUUGGAACAGGACGUCACAGAGGGUGAGAAUCCCGUACGUGGCCGCCGGUCUUCACCGUGUAAAGCCCCUUCGACGAGUCGAGUUGUUUGGGAAUGCAGCUCUAAAUGGGAGAUACAUUUCUUCUAAAGCUAAAUAUUGGCCAGAGACCGAUAGCGCACAAGUAGAGUGAUCGAAAGAUGAAAAGCACUUUGGAAAGAGAGUCAAAAAGCACGUGAAAUUGUUGAAAGGGAAGCGCUUGCAGCCAGACGUGCCCGCAGUUGCUCACCUGGGCUCUCGCCCGGGGCAUUCUUCUGCGGGCAGGCCAGCAUCAGUUCGGGCGGUUGGAUAAAGGCCUCUAUCACGUAUCUUCCUUCGGGAUGACCUUAUAGGGGAGGCGCAACACGACCAGCCUGAACUGAGGACCGCGCAUCAGCUAGGAUGCUGGCGUAAUGGC